rnacentral:snoRNA from 1 species
AUCAUUUUUGGCUCAUAAACUUGAUGAUUUGGCAUUCUCACCAUUGUGUGAGCUAUCCCUCUAUCAAAUCUUUUUAUAGUAUCUAUACUUUACAUAUCUGACA